UACGGAGGGUGCAAGCGUUGUCCGGAUUUAUUGGGUUUAAAGGGUGCGUAGGCGGCCAUAUAAGUCAGUGGUGAAACCCUUGGGCUUAACCCAAGGAGUGCCAUUGAUACUGUAUGGCUUGGGUUAUCUCUGGGCGGGCGGAAUGGAUGGUGUAGCGGUGAAAUGCAUAGAUAUCAACCAGAACGCCGACAGCGAAAGGCAGCUCGCUGGGGGGUAUACCGACGCUGGAGGCACGAUAGCGUGGGGAUCAAACAGG
rnacentral:rRNA from 1 species